UUAAUUCUUAUAUUCGUGGAGCAUCUGUAAGAUAGUGUACAAGAGGUGCAUAUGCUUUGGGUGUUGGAAGAGCUCUAAUAAACUACUUGAAAUUAAUGUCAUGAUCGAAAGAACAGCAAAUUUUAAAAGCCAAGUUAAUAAGUGUUUACACCCUCUACCUUUAUAAAUAGAUAACCAAAGAUUGUACAAAAUGUGUGGCAAUCAUGAACAAUACACACUUUAGGUUGUUUUUCAUUUUGCUUAUUAUCCUUUCUUCUAAGAUGGUGAUAGAAACAGAAGGAAGUGAAUGCAGUGAUGAUGAAUGCAAUUGGAUUUGUAUUGAUAUAGGUUUUAUAGAUGGUAGAUGCUCCCCAAGUUCUAAUCAAUGCCUCUGCGUCAUCCACCGUAUGAUUAUUAGAUGAACAUGCAAAUGGACUUGUAUUUUGUUUUCUUCUUCUUCGUUUUUCCAUUUUGUUUUUAUCCCUCGCUUUGUUAUGAUGUGAAAUACAUAAUCCAUAAUGAUAGUCAUUUGUGUGUCUUGUUUUCCUUCAAUUAAUUUCAAUUUUUAUUUUGUUGUU